CCUACGGGGGGCAGCAGUGGGGAAUAUUGCACAAUGGGGGAAACCCUGAUGCAGCGACGCCGCGUGAGUGAAGAAGUAAUUCGUUAUGUAAAGCUCUAUCAGCAGGGAAGAAAAUGACGGUACCUGAGUAAGAAGCCCCGGCUAACUACGUGCCAGCAGCCGGGGUAAUACGUAGGGGGCAAGCGUUAUCCGGAUUUACUGGGUGUAAAGGGAGCGUAGACGGCAGUGCAAGUCUGGAGGGAAAGGCGGGGGCUUAACCCCCGGACUGCCCUGGAAAACGUACGGCGUGAGUGCAGGAGAGGUAAGUGGAAUUCCUGGUGUAGCGGUGAAAUGCGGAGAUAUUAGGGGGAACACCAGUGGCGAAGGCGGCUUACUGGACUGUAACUGACGUUGAGGCUCGAAAGCGUGGGGAGCAAACAGGAUUAGAUACCCGAGUAGUC
rnacentral:rRNA from 1 species